rnacentral:lncRNA from 1 species
UUUAAGGGCAGAUAUACAACCAAAAAUAGAGAAAAUAUCUUAUUUGACCUUUCAAUAAUAAAUAGUUAUAACUAUCACAGCCCGUCCCGAAUUAUUGUUAUCGAUGGCGUGAAAUGACUAGUUUACCCUUGGACGUCGAGUAUGUUAUGUGGUGUUGUGGCUUGAGUUUGGGUUUUAAACUAAAUUAGUUAGUUCCUAAGUUUUUGGAACUUAAAGUUAGUGGUUUUGGUUGUGAUUAGUGACCUAAAACUGGACCACACACUCACACACACAUCCAAACUCCCGUUGACCUUUCUCUCUCCUCCUUAUCUCGGAUUUUCUUCCAUUUCCGUACAACCGUACGAACAACCUUCAACCUUCACUUCCAGUCACGGAUCGAGGGUGUAGUUGACAUCUUUGAACUCCUAGCAAGCUCAAGAGUUGUUCUAUACUUUUGGUUGGACGUAAAACCCUUGAAAACCCGAGAACCCAAGAACCUCGAUUUUGUGUACUGUUCAUGCACUCAUGAUUUUGAAGUUUUCAUGGAGUUUUAAAGUUAUUGGAAGCCUUAAAAUAUCUUCACGAAGCGCAGAGAAGAAAAACGAAGUGAAUUGGACAUUGGGAAGUUGAGUUUGACAAGUUUCAAAUUUUGGCCGGAUUAUCAAGGGUUCUCCGGCGAGAUUUCGUGGAUUUCAAGGCUUGAAAGUGGUAAGGUUUUGUUCUUCUAGUCCUAAGCUUCAAUUUGGUUCAAAUUUCAUGAAUUUUGGUGAAGAAAUGAAGAAGAUAUUGAAGUUUUAAAUUUUCCUAGUUUCCCACGAUCGCAGCGGUGGCCGGCGCCGGACUCCAGCGAACCAAGGAAGAAGGAGAAGAAUAUUCCGUCAAAGUUGAUGGAAUAUUCUGACGAUGUCAGGUAACUUUAACGACAUAUUCUGAUUUUUAACAGAAUAUUCCCUAAUGCCGUUAGGGAAUUCGUUUAGUGUGCCAAGCAUGUGCUUGCGUAUGAGUCGCGCAUCUGGCCGUGCCUUGGCCGGCGCGUGAGGGCACGUGGGGUCAUGGAACUUUUUCUAAAAAUAUGGGGAUGUUCCUGAGGUUGAGUAGAUCAUGGUGGUAUAUUCAAAUACCCCAUUUGAGCUUUAUAUGAGAAGUUAUUUCCUAGUUUUGUGUAUGUGCUUUAAAUAACGUUUAUUCAGUUAUUUCACAUAUAGGUGAGACCUAUCUUGAGGACGAGCACCAUCAAUCGAGGCUCGGGGGCUACGACCCUUCGACAUAUCAGUGAGUGGGCUUUUGGUUUUCCGUAUAUACCUAUAUACUUGAGAUUUUUCCUAGAAAAUGAAUUUGAAUGAUUAUACGUUUUGAAAUGCCAUGCAAAGUAUCUGCCUAUUUUAUUUAUGCAUUAGUAGUUGCAUAUAUUUAUGAUUGGUGUUGCGGAUGCACAGGUAAGUGCCAGGUAAGUUCGUAAAUUAAGGAUAUGAGGUUACUUCAGUUAUGUAAGAUAUGUUAUGAUGUAUUGAGAGCUCAUAAACCUACAUCCCGGUGUUAGUGCUCCCGCCCAGAUUUAGAGCACAGUCAUUCACGUGAUGUUCACCUCCCACACCAUAUGCUCACCUUGGAUCCAAGUUAGGUGCACAGGCUUGUCGUACAUACCACUUUAGGUGGUUCCGACUCGUAGGUGACCCACGAUUAUUUGCACAAUCUUCACGUGAUCGUAACACUAGAGCAUAUUUAUUUUACACCUAGUCUUGUCGUACAGACCACUUUAGGUGGUUCCGACUUUUGUGCAGGAUUUGAUUUGAUUUGAUAUGAUUGAGAUUGGUUAUGAGCUAUAGAUUCAGCCAUGCAGGUCACAUAGGCAAAUUUGGUUGAUUGAUAUCUGGCAUUGAUACUGUGACAACCCGUCCCAAAUCUUACGUUUUUACAAAAUUGAAAAGUGUGAUUUUACGAAAAUGCCUUUAGAGGCGAGGGUCUGACAUCCGUUGACCAACGUAUAGCAAGGUGUAUAAACUUGAAGGAUGAUUUGUGAAAACAUGUUCAUUUAAGCAACAUCAAUAAGCAUGCAAUUAACAAUUAAAAGCGGAAUCAUGCUUGCAUGCACUUAAAACAAAACAUUAACCAUGAAAUUCAAAGCCUAGUAGAUUGGUGAACCAAAACUCAACUCAAAACAAAGUGAGUUGAAAUUUAUACCUUUGUAGAUUCCUCUUUGCAUAAGCAAAGGCUAAUCACCCAAAGAGAG